rnacentral:rRNA from 1 species
CAAAACUGCGAAUGGCUCAUUAAAACAGUUAUAAUUUAUUUGGUGAUUUUUUUACAUGGAUAACCGUGGGAAACUAGGGCUAAUACAUGCAAUCAGGCCGCAAGGCUGUAUUUAUUAGUUUUAAAUCAAUAUGGGUCAACCAUAUUAGAGGAAUCAUAAUAACUUAUCGAAGCGCAGUAAAAUGCGCUACACCAUAUAAGUUUCUGCCCUAUCAGCUCUCGAUGGUAGUGUAUUGGACUACCAUGGCUAUCACGGGUAACGGGGAAUUGGGGUUCGAUUCCGGAGAGGGAGCCUGAGAAACGGCUACCAUUUCUAAGGAAGGCAGCAGGCGCGUAAAUUACCCAAUCCUGACUCAGGGAGGUAGUUAAUAGAAAUAACA